GACGAACGCUGGCGGCGUGCUUAACACAUGCAAGUCGAGCGGAGCGGCGAACGGGUGAGUAACGCGUGAGUAACCUGCCCCCCUCUCUGGGAUAACAGUUGGAAACGGCUGCUAAUACCGGAUAGGGGGAUGGACUCGCGUCAUAUCAGCUUGUUGGUGGGGUAGUGGCCUACCAAGGCGACGAAGGGUAGCCGGCCUGGGAGGGCGACCGGCCAAAUUGGGACUGGGACACGGCCCAGACUCCGAAGGGAGGCAGCAGUUGGGAAUCUUCGGCAAUGGGGGGAACCCUUACUGAGCAACGCCGCUUGAGUGAAGAAGGUUUUCGGAUCGUAAAGGUCUGUUGUUAAGGAAGCGGUACUUAACCAGAAAGCGACGGCUAACUACGUGCCAGCAGCCGCGGUAAUAC
rnacentral:rRNA from 1 species